CAUAGUGUAGCUUAAAAUAAAGCACCUGGCUUACACCCAGAAGAAUUCAUCAACCAUGAACACUUUGA
rnacentral:tRNA from 1 species